rnacentral:lncRNA from 1 species
CGUUGACCAGGUAAAAUAGUAAGUGAGUACUUUGUUUAGUUUCGACUGAUACUCUUCGGUAAGAUUAAUUUACCAUGUAUCUUUUCAUUAGCAGUCACAUUUUGAAAAAUGUCCAAAGUUUGCUAAGUAAAUUUAAUAGUAUCAUAGUUCAAUGCGUUAACCAUAAUGUUCCGAAAAAUAUAACUGAUAUUUCUUAUUUCCGAUUACCUACACAGUGUUUGGAUUGCAGGGUUUAACCUUAACGGCUGUCAGAUUGACCAUAAUGAAGAACACAAAGUAAUUAAAUAAUAGUAAUUUGAUUGACAAUGUUUUCUUGGGGUAGAAAUCUGCUCUAUUCCCCUCUCAGCUAUGAGUUAUUUAGAUAAUGUGAUAUAUUUUUAUAAUACAAUACGAAAUAUUUCAUGUAGAUUACUUAUAUUUCUAAUG